CCCUUAGAUGUCCUGGGCCGCACGCGCGUUACACUGAUGCAUUCAACGAGCUUAUAACCUUGGCCGAGAGGCCUGGGCAAUCUUGUUAACGUGCAUCGUGAUAGGGAUAGAUUAUUGAAAUUAUUAAUCUUGAACGAGGAAUUCCUAGUAAACGCAGAUCAUCAAUCUGCAUUGAUUACGUCCCUGCCCUUUGUACACACCGCCCGUCGCUGCCCGGAACUGAGCCGUUUCGAGAAAGCCGGGGACUGACGGCUUGUGGGUGCGCAAGCGCUUCUUGCCGAUGGAAACCAGUUUAAUCGGUAUGGCUUGAACCGGGCAAAAGUCGUAACA
rnacentral:rRNA from 1 species